rnacentral:lncRNA from 1 species
GAGAGUAAGGCAGUUUGCACAUCUCCACCUGGACAUGGUACAGAUUUGUCCCACUAACUAGACACCUUUUUCCUCCCCAUCAUCCUCCCAUUCCCCUGCAGACGGGCAGCGGGCAACGUAGCCAGACCAGCUCCAUCCCGCAGAAGCCCCAGACCAACAAGUCUGCCUACAACAGCUACAGCUGGGGGGCCAACUGAGGCCCUGACCCUCCUCUCCCGGUCCUAUCUUCUGAGAGGGCUUCUCAGCCUGGAAACUAUGGAAACAGCAUCAAAGAGAGAAAGGAAUGUGGGGGGGGUUCCGCUGCCCCCCAUCCCCAGCGGCCCACCCCAUGCCUCAGCUUCAUGUCUGUCCCAUUCCUAUACCAUCCCCACCCUGUUGUAUGUAUUAUAGGAUUUGUAUUUUCUUUUUUUUUUUUCUUUCCUUCCUUUCCUCUUCCUCCUCCUCCCUUGCAUUCAAGAUUAUGAAACUUUGCUGUGGGCCCUGCCCUUCCUUCACUUCUUCCUGUUCACCCUGGUGGUAUAUGGGUGAAGUGGGGAGGUGGGACCCCCAAAUAUAUAUCAGCCCAACAGCCCUAAGUCUCCUCCUUUAUUAUUAGG